AUACGGAGGAUGCAAGCGUUAUCCGGAUUUAUUGGGUUUAAAGGGUGCGUAGGCGGAUGAUUAAGCGUGAGGUGAAAUGCCACUGCUCAACAGUGGAACUGCCUCGCGAACUGGUUGUCUUGAAUGCUCCUGCCGUGGGAGGAAUGUGUGGUGUAGCGGUGAAAUGCAUAGAGAUCACACAGAACACCGAUUGCGAAGGCAUCUCACGAAGGGGUGAUUGACGCUGAGGCACGAAAGCGUGGGGAUCAAACAGGAUUAGAUACCCUGGUAGUCCAUGCAGUAAACGAUGAUAACUAACCGCUGGGUCGUAGUGAUUCAGUGGCCAAGCGAAAGCGAUAAGUUAUCCACCUGGGGAGUACGACCGCAAGGUUGAAACUCAAAUGAAUUGACGGGG
rnacentral:rRNA from 1 species